rnacentral:lncRNA from 1 species
UCUUCCUUCUCAUGGUACAAGGCCUCUGUGUGCUGCAGUGCCCACCAUACAGAUUCUUGUGUUAUGUAAGGACAUGGUAGAAGGUGUUCUAAGUACCUGAUACUGUGCCUAGUGACAGGUGAACAGGCUAUUGAGGUAGUACAGUCUGCGUGUUGGUAUGUGAAGUACCAGCUUUUCUCCCUAGUCUAAAAAAUAAGCCAAUGUGAUAUAGACCUCGGGUGGGGAUGAGGAUGAAAAUCAGCACCAGGUGAGUUCCCAUUCCCUUCUAGGUUGGCCUCCCUACAACUCAAGUCUUGAGUGUCUUGGGUAAUUUCCUGUAACCUUCUCUUGGUAGAAGAGACUAUAGAAUACCCAGAGAUGACCCCUAGAAAAUCCACCAUCUGGAAAGCUGAGCCACAUAGGACCAUGUGGCUCCUCUCCUGUCCCCAAGACAGGUCCUUUUUGCUAUGUGGUUUGUGCACAGGGUCAGACUAAGAGGAAGCUGUCCUGACCUUGUUGCCAACCAAGGAAGCCACAGAAAGAACCCAGGGACUCUCUGUGGGAAGAGAAACAAACCCAUCUCUUGCUAGCAAAUGGAUUUUACCUGAAGCCCAGGUCCUGGUUUCAUCUGUUGCUGUGGAGAGUUCAAUGUUGAGGAUCUCAAAGAGGGAAUGGUUGGCUGUUAGAGUAUGUGUUGGUAUAGAUGUGGACAGUGGAAUCUGCAUGCUCUCGCUUGACCUGACCCCACCGUUUUAUAGGGAGGCAGAUCUUGUGGGAAGCAAGAGAGUUCUUGGCUGCACAGCACACCGGUGGAGUACGACUCCUGUUUCUAAGAUCCUGCUCUCCUUGACAGCAUCUGCUUUAGCCCUGCUUUUGAGCAUCAGUGAAGUGCUGGCGUGUGUGCCUUCUUGCCCCGGUAUCUGAGUGUGCUUAGUUCAUGGUCCUGAGUCACUUGGUGACACACAUGGGCUUUGCACACUCUGAGCUCAGCAGCUCUGUUACUGAAUAGAAUAGUGCCCCUGUUCAGUCACACAGCUCCAGGCAGUGAAGCCUACCCAAGUCCUCACUGGACAUAAGCCAUCAACAGUUUUCCCAGGGACACAAACAUUAUUCAAGACAUUUCCUACCAGGGUCAUGGGUACAUGGCUGACAUUGGCUGGGAGAAUCCUGCUGUGGCUGUUGGUGCCCAGAAGGCUGGCUGCUGCCUAGGGAGGGCCUGGGCUGAGAAAAGCAUGUCUUGCUCUUAGCAUCUCGAUGCAGUUACAGCCAGCUUGGGAUUUGUGGGCCAGACCCAGGACUCGUUUUCUGUUGUUGUUCUUUCGUUUUGUUUUUGUUUUCUUUUGUUUUGGUUUUUCUUAACAAGAGCAGAGAUGAUACUGAGCCUGACAGUGUUGUAAGAGAAAACCAGAAGUGAAUCGAUGUGUUAACCGAUGCCUGGCCCAUCUGACAUGCUGUAGGUACAGCUUUGCCCUAAAGCCUGGGGAGGGGCUGGAACACGUAAGGUUUUAGCUCCUUUAUGCAGAAUGACACAUGCAGGCACCCCUGUUGCCACUCCCAAUUCCAGGUUUGUGUUAGCAUCAUUAACUGACCCCUGUACACUGUUCUGCAAAAUCCUCAAUAUAGUGAAGUGCACUGCCAAUCAGCUGGAAUCAGGAAAUUGGAAAUGGGACCUGUUUGCUGUCAUCAUGCUAGAUGGAGAGUAGGAUGGCCACUUGUGUUUACCUCAUCUAGGACAUCAUGGUAGACCAUUGCCUGGUCCCAAGAGAUAAGGGUGGCAGGCACUCAUUCUGGUUUUCAAAAGUUACCAUCAUGGAGUGAGUGUGCUGUGGAACCAACCAGAGCCUGGGUAUCCCAUGUUCAUGGAGACAGACUCUGCUUCUUGUGACUACUGAGCCAACCAGGUCAUUCCCAGGUGUUAAUGCAUUAUAGAGAGGGGCACGUGGGCAAGCAAGAAUUGUUUCCUGGAGAAGCAAAGGGGCCUAUAGGGGACAGGGAGCAGGGUGAUGGAGGCUAGAUACUCACAACAUACAGUAUUUGGGGACACUAAACAGACAUAUUCCAGGAGGUCCAACCAGUAUGGAGUGGCCAGGAAGUCAUUCGUGACAGAAAUGAUUUGAUAACCAAAUAAAACCUGUGAGAGAAUGAGUUUCUGGUCCCGGAGGUGGACAAGGAUGGUGGCUGGUCCCACUACAAGAAUCAAGGGUCAUGUGGAAACUAGAUAGUGCAGGGAGGUGUCCUAGGCACACUGCAUGCACAAAGCCAUCCUGGGAUGGGGAGUGGAGGAAGAAGAGGGAACCCCAGUCAUGUGGAAGCCACGGGGCUGUAGCUCUGGAUGGAGUGAUGAGUUCCAUGGAAGCUCAGACACAGCCACGUGGGCUUCAGUCCUUGACAAAUCCAGGAGGAGAGGUGCCAGGUCUUACUGGGUAAUGCCAGCUGAUAGUGAGUUUCCUAUUUCAGUAGGCUAUUGGCAGAUCUAGGUGCCUGAGCGUGCCAGAACCAACACUUAGGUUUUGCUGUAACCACAAGGGAAGGCGCAGGGCUGGCUGCCCUCCAGACCCAGUUUUCUCCACUGUUGGCUCUCCAUCUGGGGUAAACCGGGAAGGGGUACGGGUGGAGAAUCCCUGUUGAAAAGGGAUCCCGGCUGUAUGUUAGAAGAGCUCGAGUCUGCCCCACUGUGUCUGGAAUGCUCGGUGGAAUAUAUAUGCUGGGUCAUUGGGACAAGAAGGAAGCAGUGUUGUGAGAAUAGCUUUAAAGGUGGACUAAAAGACAAGCUAGGCUCUGGCACAAGGCAUCAACACCUCCAGGAUGACUGUGGUGAUGAGACAAAUCUCGCAGGUCAGGAUAUCAAACACCCUCAGUUUAGGCCUCCAAAAAGAACAUCUUUUCAUUUUUUUUUUUUACCAAUUGCAAUGUUAUAAUUCCUAGGAUAUUGUAUUGCUUUUUUAAAGUGGCAUUUUGCAAAUAAUCACAAUGCCACUGCUUUUUAGGGCCUGCCAUUGUCACUUUAAAGAAACAUCUGAACAAGCUCAUCUUUAGCAGACAGAGAUUUUAUAUCUUCCUUUUUUUUCUCUCCUUGAACGGCCAUUUCUAGCCCACCCACCCCCACAGGGUUUUUUCCUAAUGUAAUAUAUUUUUAUGCUUGAAAGUCUUUUAUUGAUCACCGUUUCACACUCAUCUGCCACAACAAGAGGUACAUAAAUUGAAAUAGAAAUUUCUGGGGGAAAAUUUUUUCCCUGGGAUCAUAAAGCUCUGCAUUUAAAAACCUCUUAAUUUUUCCCCCAGAUUGAGUUGUGAUUAGGCUGCAAUUUGUCAAGAACAAAUUUAGAUAAAUAGUAAGUGUAAAAAUAAAAAAUUAUCCAAGACACCCUUCUCGGUGAAACAGUUAACGGCUGCCCGUCUUUCUCGAUCGGCUCGUGUAUCUGUGAAUGAGGAUUUCUUACGUGUAGAAUGAGACCGGGCUUGGCCUUCAUUUCAUGAUGAUUUCUAUUGUUUGCAGGGAAAGGGCUUGGAGAGCUGGGGUGUGUGAACAGGGAGCCGAAGACCAUGGGGUUUGCUUCAUGGUGUCACUUGAUUCUUUGACUCCUUCCAAGAUGUAUGCC